GAGUGAAGCGGGAACAGCUCAAAUUUGAAACGCUGGCCUUCUGGUCCGCAUUGUAAUUUGUAGAGGAUGCUUUUGGCGCGGUGCCUUCUGAGUUCCUUGGAACAGGACGCCUUAGAGGGUGAGAGCCCCGUACAGUUGGACACCUAGCCUUUGUAAAGCUCCUUCGACGAGUCGAGUAGUUUGGGAAUGCUGCUCUAAAUGGGAGGUAAAUUUCUUCUAAAGCUAAAUACCGGCCAGAGACCGAUAGCGCACAAGUAGAGUGAUCGAAAGAUGAAAAGCACUUUGAAAAGAGGGUUAAAUAGCACGUGAAAUUGUUGAAAGGGAAGCGCUUAUGACCAGACUUUUUCCUGGCGGAUCAUCCGGCGUUCUCGCCGGUGCACUUCGUCAGGUUUAGGCCAACAUCGAUUUCCGCCGGGGGAUAAAGACUUCAGGAAUGUGACUCCUCUCGGGGAGUGUUAUAGCCUGUUGUGUAAUACCCUGGUGGGGAUCGAGGUUCGCGCUUCGGCAAGGAUGUUGGCAUAAUGGUCAUCAGUGACCCGUCUUGAAACACGGACCAAGGAGUCGAACAUUUAUGCGAGUGUUUGGGUGUUAAACCCUCACGCGUAAUGAAAGUGAACGGAGGUGAGAGCCUUAGGGUGCAUCAUCGACCGAUCCUGAAGUCUUCGGAUGGAUUUGAGUAAGAGCAUAACUGUUCGGACCCGAAAGAUGGUGAACUAUGCGUGGAUAGGGUGAAGCCAGAGGAAACUCUGGUGGAGGCUCGCAGCGGUUCUGACGUGCAAAUCGAUCGUCAAAUCUGCGCAUGGG
rnacentral:rRNA from 1 species